GAGGCGCAAUUCCUCCAAAAGUGGAUGGGAGCAUUUUGUUUCCACUUCUGGUUUGGCCAUAACUGCCAAACAGGCAAAGAAAAAAUGGAAUAACCUAAAAGAUAAAUACAAGGAGCUUAGGGACCCACCCACAGGAAAAGGGGUAGAGGCCGGUAGUGUGACUGCUGCCACCUGGCAGUGGUACACUGCAAUGGAUGCUGCACUCCAGGGGCAGCACUCAGUUACUAUGCCCAUAGUUGUUGC